GUAAGGGUGUGAUGUCUAUUCAAAAACAAAACAGGCUGUUUUAAAUCACCCAUAUUGAAGUAAUGUAGAACAAUUAGACACCCUAUAACCCACACCUACACACUCAUGUAUCAAUCUGAUUGAUGGAUUGUGUUGUGCUGUAAGCAGGUUCAGGUGUAUAACUGUGGCGCCUUCCACCUUCAAAGAAUAGGCAAGAGGGCCAACCAUGGAGAAUAGUAAGUCACUUCAUUAUUUCUAUAACUACGCUAUAAUUGUUUGUCCUUGUGGGUCCGUUCAUGUUUUUCAGCAUAAAGUACUCUGCAGCCACUUAGUGUGGUGUGGACACCAGGUGAGGCCACACACAGAUUCCUGUUGAACACUGUGGCUUUAACUACCUUAUUUUCUCAAUAACAGUCUCUCUCCUUCACUUCAUCCCUCUCUCCUCUUCUCCCUAAAUCCUCUAGGUUAUAUCAGCUGUGUCGGUGAACCCCUCCUGCAUCUGAACUGGCUACAUGGAGGGCACAGCAUGAUCAGAGAUAUGUUUUGAUGUGAGAGGAUGCCAACCCUCAGUCCCAUCAUCGCCACCUCACCCUCUUUUAAGAUAACCUUUGGGCCGACUAGAGACACUAUUAUGUAAUUGUGAUGAACUGAGAGAAUAUUUAGGUAGCACCGUGUUUCAUUAAUUAUGUACUGCCUUCCCUGCUCCUAUGUGCUUACCUCUUUCCCUUUCUGUCUUUUACACCUCUCCCACCACCACCUCUUUCUUCCUCUGUUUUUAUAAUUCACAACAGAUGUGCAUUGAAGUACAGAUUGAACUUGUAUUUAUAACACUUGGAUAAUGAGCUUUUCAAUCAAGUGUUUCACAUUCUCUACUGGUUGAAAUGAAGUGUAAUGUGAUGAAAUACUCCACCUAUCCUGUGUUUUACCAGAUCAAUGCAGAUGAAGGGCAUUAGAUGUUGAGAUGAACCGGUGUUGGAGUAUUUACAUGAUGCAAAGGAAGUGUAGUGUUCUGUAUUUAACAUUAUAUUUCUGUUUAUAUGAAUUAACUAGUUAAAUCCUGUUUCUAGUCUAUUAGUUACAAUGUGUAACCAUUGAUGUCCCAGGACCAAGAUUGGUAAACAGUGUUGAAGUGUAGAAUUGUAAUACAUACAUGCAGACACAGCAUCAUUCAAAGACUGGAAUUUGAUACUCCUGGUAUUGGAUAUGACUGAAAAAUCAUCUCAAAGACAUUCAUACUUAAACUGCACUUUUAUUUGCCAAGAUAGAGUACAUGAUUAGUGAAUAUAUUAAAUGUACAGGCUACAAUGUGGGGAUCUCAUGCAUGGUAAUAACUACAUGUAUAUACGACUUGCAUCCUUGGCACAACAUGAUAUUAUAAUCUACUCAAUCCAUAGGCUUCAUUAAUGUCAUUCAGGCUGUUUUGAAGUUGAUACAACUGGCUAUGAUAGCUGAGGUUCAUAGCUAGGUUCUGAACUAAUAUGUAUACCAAACGUUUGGGUCCAUACACAGAUCGGCUAGAUAGCUAGCUACACAUCCAUGGGCAUACAGGGAUUUGAAUAAUCCACUGCACAAUAAGCAAGAACAUAGUUAGCUACGUUAUUUAAUCUAUCUGCAUGGCAAAUAUCAGCAAGGAAAGCUUACAAAAUUGUACAUUAAAUUUGCAGUAAAUUCUUCAGCUAGCUAGAUUCUAUACAUCCACUGUUUUCCAAAACGACAGUCUGGUUUGCUGGUUGUUUCAGGAGUCCCUAAAACAACCAGAAUUACAAUUUCAUACUCAUGUCACAACACCCAUAAAGCUAGCCAGCUAGCUGGCUAAUGUUAGCUAGUCAGCUAGCUGGCUAAAUCACGAUUUUCGUAAAUGAACUAUGAUUUAAAAAAAUGCAUAAUCGUUUGUCUCUACAUGAACUAACAUUCCUGUCAACUGUACAUGUUUUUGCAUGAUUAGUUAUGACGUUAUAAUCCC